rnacentral:lncRNA from 1 species
CCCAAGGUUGCUGCCUUUCCUUCAGGUGCAGGAAGACCCCAGUGUACUGGAACAAUAAAUUCCUCUUGCUUUUGCAUCGAUCCCUAGCUCCAAGUUGUUCACUGUGGCAGGGGUAGGGGUCCCAGACCCACCUCACAGGUUCUGACUGUCGGGAAGAAAGAAGCACGGGAGGAGGGAUCCGGGCCUGAGAGAAGUCAAUCCUCCAAGACCCUUCGCCAGCGGAUCUGUUGCUCCAAGACCCUCCUCCUCCAUAUCACCCUUCCCUUUCCCCCAUGGCCCUGCCGGUGCUGGCUCCAGCUCUGGAAUCCUCAGCCCAUAUAGGACCAGGGCCAUUGUAUCCCACUUUACCGGAGGAAUGAACAGGAGGAGAACCCCAACUUCCCGGUCCUGCCAUGGGGACCCAAAGUCUGAGAGCCACCUCCCCUGAUACCACGGUGGCUCUCUUGCUGGGGACAUAUGGGCCUCUGGAAAAGGGCAAUCAGGCUAUGCAAUAUUGGCCCUUCUCUUUGGCUGACUUGUACAACUGGAAGGCCCAACCCCCCCCCCUUUCCCAAGGGGCAGAUUAAUGUCUUUGAGACUGUUUUAUUUACUCAUCAGCCCACCUAGGUGAUAUCCAACAACUCACGAGAGUACUCUUCAUGACCGAAGAGAGAGAAGAUAAUGCAGGAAGCUAGAAAGACAUGGGGGCACCAUCGAUUGACCAGGUUGUUGUCGACAGCGGGCUUUCUCUGACUAGACCUGAGUAGGACUUGUCUUAGUCAGGGUUUCUACUCCUGCACAAACAUCAUGACCAUGUUUUGGGGAAGCAAGCCAUUAAAGAACAUCCCUCCAUGGCCGCCUCUGCAUCAGCUCCUGUUUUCUGACCUGCUUGAGUUCCAGUCCUGACUUCCUUCAGUGAUGAACAGCAGUAUGGAAGUGUAAGCCGAAUAAACCCUUUCCUCCCCAACUUG